GGCCGGCGUAGCUCAGUUGGUAGAGCAGCUGACUUGUAAUCAGCAGGUCAUCAGUCCGAGUCUGAUCGCCGGCUCCAG
rnacentral:tRNA from 1 species